GUGGAUUUGAUACCCUGGUAGUCCGCACGGUAAACGAUGGAUGCCCGCUGUUGGUCUGAAUAGGUCAGCGGCCAAGCGAAAGCAUUAAGCAUCCCACCUGGGGAGUACGCCGGCAACGGUGAAACUCAAAGGAAUUGACGGGGGCCCGCACAAGCGGAGGAACAUGUGGUUUAAUUCGAUGAUACGCGAGGAACCUUACCCGGGCUUGAAUUGCAGAGGAAGGAUUUGGAGACAAUGACGCCCUUCGGGGCCUCUGUGAAGGUGCUGCACGGUCGUCGUCAACU
rnacentral:rRNA from 1 species